rnacentral:rRNA from 1 species
GACGAACGCUGGCGGCGUGCUUAACACAUGCAAGUCGAACGGAAAGGCCCUGCUUGCAGGGUGCUCGAGUGGCGAACGGGUGAGUAACACGUGGGUGAUCUGCCCCUUACUUUGGGAUAAGCCUGGGAAACUGGGUCUAAUACUGGAUAGGACCAUGCUGUAGGUGGUGUGGUGGAAAGAUUAGUUUCGGUAAGGGAUGAGCUCGCGGCCUAUCAGCUUGUUGGUGGGGUAAUGGCCUACCAAGGCGUCGACGGGUAGCCGGCCUGAGAGGGUGGACGGCCACAUUGGGACUGAGAUACGGCCCAGACUCCUACGGGAGGCAGCAGUGGGGACUAUUGCACAAUAGGCGCAAGCCUGAUGCAGCGACGCCGCGUGGGGGAUGACGGCCUUCGGGUUGUAAACUCCUUUCAGCCAUGACGAAGCCCUUGUGGUGACGGUAGUGGUAGAAGAAGCACCGGCUAACUACGUG